CCUACGGGGGGCAGCAGUGGGGGAUAUUGCACAAUGGGGGGAACCCUGAUGCAGCGACGCCGCGUGGGUGAAGAAGCGCCUCGGCGCGUAAAGCCCUGUCAGCAGGGAAGAAAAUGACGGUACCUGAAGAAGAAGCCCCGGCUAACUACGUGCCAGCAGCCGCGGUAAUACGUAGGGGGCAAGCGUUAUCCGGAUUUACUGGGUGUAAAGGGGGCGCAGACGGCGAUGCAAGCCAGGAGUGAAAGCCCGGGGGCCAACCCCGGGACUGCUCUUGGAACUGCGUGGCUGGAGUGCAGGAGGGGCAGGCGGAAUUCCUGGUGUAGCGGUGAAAUGCGUAGAUAUCAGGAGGAACACCGGUGGCGAAGGCGGCCUGCUGGACUGCAACUGACGUUGAGGCCCGAAAGCGUGGGGAGCAAACAGGAUUAGAUACCCCUGUAGUC
rnacentral:rRNA from 1 species